CACGUAGGCGGAUUGGUCAGUUAGGGGUGAAAUCCUGGAGCUCAACUCCAGAACUGCCUUUAAUACUGCCAGUCUAGAGUCCGGAAGAGGUAAGUGGAACUCCUAGUGUAGAGGUGGAAUUCGUAGAUAUUAGGAAGAACACCAGUGGCGAAGGCGGCUUACUGGUCCGGUACUGACGCUGAGGUGCGAAAGCGUGGGGAGCAAACA
rnacentral:rRNA from 1 species